GACGAACGCUGGCGGCGUGCUUAACACAUGCAAGUCGAACGGAAAGGCCUGCUUUCCCUUGUGGAUUGCGGGUACUCGAGUGGCGAACGGGUGAGUAACACGUGAGUGAUCUGCCCCCAACUUGGGUAUAAGCCUGGGAAACUGGGUCUAAUUCCCGAUAGGACUGCAGGGUGGUGCCUGUGGUGGAAAACGAUUUGCUAGUGGUUGGGGAUGAGCUCGCGGCCUAUCAGCUUGUUGGUGGGGUAAUGGCCUACCAAGGCGGCGACGGGUAGCCGGCCUGAGAGGGUGGACGGCCACAUUGGGACUGAGAUACGGCCCAGACUCCUACGGGAGGCAGCAGUGGGGAAUAUUGCACAAUGGGCGGAAGCCUGAUGCAGCGACGCCGCGUGGGGGAUGACGGCCUUCGGGUUGUAAACUCCUUUCGACCGCGAGGAAGCCACCUGGUUGGAAGGGUGGUGACGGUAGUGGUAGAAGAAGCACCGGCUAACUACGUG
rnacentral:rRNA from 1 species